UGUGGAGCAAGCGGAGGUGCUCUUUGCCUACAAGGCUCUGAGUCCCCUGCUCCCAGAACUUUAUAUUUUGUGUCCAUGUUUCAUUCCUUUGCCACUCUGUCAGCACCAACUGGUGCCCAAUGUGGGGCCCAAAGAACUGGACCUGGUUCCUGACAGAAGAAUCGCUUGAAUGACUGAGGUAUAGCAGUGCUGGAACUCGGGUGGAGGUGAUGGACGGGCACCAAUUUGGGUUAGGGCUCGAUGACUCAAGCCAUAUCAUGACUCCGGGGAAGAAAAGAAAAUGGCUGUGGGACGUCGAGCCACCAGUGAUGCAGCUGCAGGGGCUGACUCUGAAGACAACAGUGACUGGGCCAACACCCCGAACUAGAGAAGCUCGACAUCCCACCUGGGGGCAGAUAAAGAAAUUAUGUCAGGAUGCUGAAAAAUAAGUCCAACGAGACAAGCUGCAUAUGACAGGUUCUAACCUGAUGGCAGCAAUGUUGGCUCUUAUUGCUAUUGCUUCCUCAGAUGCACAAGAAAAACCCUCUCAGACCUAAAGCAGAAAGAAGGCGCUUGGUCCAUCUUGUCAGCAUUGAAGAGGCAAAAAGGGGGACAUGUGGGAAACCGAGUCUUCCAUGUGGCUUAAGCCAUAUCUGGGGUGGUGGCUUGGAAUGUUAAGCCACAUGCCUGCAUGGAAUGCUGUGCAGGCAUGCCUCAUAAAGAUAUGUGUCUUGGAACAUGACAACAACGUUUGCUACUGUCCUGUACCUAGAUUGCUCCUUCUAAUAUGCAACAAGAUGUAAACAUUGGCAAUGGAAAAGGAAACAGCUUGCUCAGUCCUUUCCUCAUACAAAAAUAAAAAAGGGGAUAUGUGGGAAAAUAGCCUGAGCUGGGAAUGCAUCCUUGACUUCCCUAGCAACUGCAUUGUUGAUACAAGAAGCAUGCAAGUCUUGGAUGGUCUGUCCUUGACUUCCCUGUUUUGCUAACUUCCCUAUCUUGCUUUCUCUGGCCUGUUAGUAACUGCCCUAUUUUUUGUGAGAAAGUGAAGCUAAUAAAUAUGCUGUGGAGCAAGCAGAGGUGCUCUUUGCCUACAAGGCUCUGAGUCCCCU